AUUUGGCGGACGGGUGAGUAACGCGUGGGAACGUACCCUUCAGUUCGGAAUAACCCGGGGAAACUCGGGCUAAUACCGGAUACGUCCGUAAGGAGAAAGAUUUAUCGCUGAAGGAUCGGCCCGCGUCGGAUUAGCUAGUUGGUGAGGUAAAGGCUCACCAAGGCAAUGAUCCGUAGCUGGUCUGAGAGGACGAUCAGCCACACUGGGACUGAGACACGGCCCAGACUCCUACGGGAGGCAGCAGUGGGGAAUAUUGCACAAUGGGCGAAAGCCUGAUGCAGCGACGCCGCGUGAGCGAAGAAGGUUUUCGGAUCGUAAAGCUCUGUCCUUUGGGAAGAUAGUGACGGUACCAAAGGAGGAAGCCCCGGCUAACUACGUGCCAGCAGCCGCGGUAAUAAU
rnacentral:rRNA from 1 species